rnacentral:lncRNA from 1 species
UGAAGCCAUAAACAACACACUCCCUAUAAAAUUAUGAGAUUUGUUGUUAGAACACGUCUCAAGAGUUUCUAUGAGAGAUUAAAAAGUGUAUUCGACUCUAUAAAUAUGGAGCACCAAAUUAUAAGGUACAGUUAAAUAAGAUAUUGUUUUUGUUCCCUCGGAGACCUCAGAACAAACAAACCAUGCCAACACCUUGAUUUUGGACUUCUAAAUCUCCCAAAUGGUCAGAGAAUAAAUUUCCUUUG